rnacentral:RNase_P_RNA from 1 species
GAAGCGGGCAAGACGAUCGCUUGUCGCAAGGCAAGAGGAAAGUCCGGGCUCCGCAGGACAGGGUGGUCGGUAACGCCGACCGGUCGUGAGAUUAGGGAAAGUGCAGCAGAGAACAGACCGCCGAACGGCCUCUCCCUCGUGGAGAGGUGCGUGGUAAGGGUGAAACGGUGAGGUAAGAGCUCACCAGCGUCGGAGGUGACUUCGGCGGCUUGGUAAACCCCACCCGGAGCAAGACCAAACAGGAAGCCGUUCGCAGAUCGAUAGCGCUGCAAAGUGCCAGCGGUCUGCGACGCGAUGCGGUUCGUAUCGCUGUGACUUCCGGGUAGGUUGCUUGAGGCGGCGAGCAAUCGCCGUCCUAGAUAAAUGAUCGUCCGACGCUUCGGCGUUGCACAGGACCCGGCUUAUACGCCUGCUUCGAUC